AAAGGAAGUAAGGAAACGGCCGGGUCGAGGACCUGGUACUACAAGGGAGGGGCUCAUGUCCUAUCAGCUUGUUGGUGGGGUAACGGCCUACCAAGGCUACGACGGGUAGCUGGUCUGAGAGGAUGAUCAGCCACACUGGCACUGAGAUACGGGCCAGACUCCUACGGGAGGCAGCAGUGAGGAAUAUUGCGCAAUGGGCGCAAGCCUGACGCAGCGACGCCGCGGUGGGGGAUGAAGGUUUUCGGAUUGUAAACCCCUUUCAUGAGGAAAGAUAAAGUGGGUAACCACUUAGACGGUACCUCAAGAAGAAGCCACGGCUAACUUCGUG
rnacentral:rRNA from 1 species